GAUGAACGCUGGCGGCGUGCCUAAUACAUGCAAGUCGAGCGAACAGACGAGGAGCUUGCUCCUCUGACGUUAGCGGCGGACGGGUGAGUAACACGUGGAUAACCUACCUAUAAGACUGGGAUAACUUCGGGAAACCGGAGCUAAUACCGGAUAAUAUAUUGAACCGCAUGGUUCAAUAGUGAAAGACGGUUUUGCUGUCACUUAUAGAUGGAUCCGCGCCGCAUUAGCUAGUUGGUAAGGUAACGGCUUACCAAGGCAACGAUGCGUAGCCGACCUGAGAGGAUGAUCGGCCACACUGGAACUGAGACACGGUCCAGACUCCUACGGGAGGCAGCAGUGGGGAAUCUUCCGCAAAGGGCGAAAGCCUGACGGAGCAACGCCGCGUGAGUGAUGAAGGUCUUCGGAUCGUAAAGCUCUGUUAUUAGGGAAGAACAAAUGUGUAAGUAACUAUGCACGUCUUGACGGUACCUAAUCAGAAAGCCACGGCUAACUACGUG
rnacentral:rRNA from 1 species